AGAAAAAGCCAACUUAUCGCUCUGUUCUUUUUGAGCAGUGAGGAAAGUCCGGACACCAUAGCGUAAUCAUAGCGGAUAACAUCCGUCAUUUCGUUUUUACGGGAUAGGACUAGUGCAACAGAAAGUAUGUACAGUUAGGCUGUAGUGAAAUCAGGUAAACUCUAUGAGGUGCAAUGCCACGUAUAUUGGUGCUUCAAUUUUUUUUGAAAUAGUGUUACGCACACAAUGCCAAGGGGUAGGCAGCUACAGAUAUGCAGUAAUGUAGAUCGCAGAUAAAUGAUAAGUUUAAACACAGAAUCCGGCUUAUGGCUUUUUCUAACC
rnacentral:RNase_P_RNA from 1 species